CGAACUCGGAGAUAGCUGGUUCUCCUCGAAAUAGCUUUAGGGCUAGCCUUGAGGUAAAGUCUAAUGGAGGUAAAGCACUGAUUGGACGCGGGUCCCCAAAAGGAUACCAACUUCUAUCAAACUCAGAAUGCCAUAUAGAUAUACUCAGGAGUCAGACUAUGUGAGAUAAGUUUCAUAGUCAAAAGGGAAAGAGCCCAGACCGACAGCUAAGGUCCCAAAGUGUGUGUUAAGUGGAAAAGGAUGUUAGGUUUCUAAGACAACUAGGAUGUUGGCUCAGAAGCAGCCACUCAUUUAAAGAGUGCGUAACAGCUCACUAGUCGAGAGGUCUAGCGCCGAAAAUGUCCGGGGCUAAAACACACCACCGAAGCUACGGAAUUACCUAUGGUAAUUGGUAGAGGAGCAUUCUGUAAGGAUGAAGCACAAUUGAAAGAGAGUGUGGACGAAACAGAAGAGAGAAUGCCGGAAUGAGUAGCGAGAUAUAUGUGAGAAUCAUAUAGGUCGAAUGUCUAAGGUUUCCUGGGUAAAGCUGAUCUGCUCAGGGUAAGUCGGGACCUAAGGUGAGGGCGAGAGCCGUAAUCGAUGGACAACAGGUAGAAAUUCCUGUACUACGUAUAAUCAGAACUGUGGGGACGCAGGAGGAUAGGAAAACCGGAGAAUGGAAAAAUCCGGCUAAGUACAAAGGUGUGAGUGAUAGGCAAAUCCGUCACUAUUAGCUGAAGUACGAAUGGGAGCGAAGAAAAGUAGCGAAGUUUCUGAAUCCACACUGUCAAGAAAAGCCGCUAUUGCGUUAUACGUACCCGUACCGCAAACCGACACAGGUAGACGAGGAGAAAAUCCACAGACCGACGGGAGAAGUGUUGUUAAGGAACUCGGCAAAAUGACCCCGUAACUUAGGGAUAAGGGGAGCCAACGCAAGUUGGUCACAGAAAAGAGGCUCAAGCGACUGUUUAGCAAAAACAUAGGUCUAUGCGAAACCGUAAGGUGAUGUAUAUGGGCUGACACCUGCCCGGUGCUGGAAGGUCAAAAGGAGAGGUUAGCGUAAGCGAAGCUUUGAAUUCAAGCCCCAGUAAACGGCGGCCGUAACUAUAACGGUCCUAAGGUAGCGAAAUUCCUUGUCAGGUAAGUUCUGACCCGCACGAAAGGUGUAACGAUUUGAGCACUGUCUCGACAACACGCCCGGUGAAAUUGAAGAACCAGUGAAGAUACUGGUUACCCGCAACAGGACGGAAAGACCCCAUGGAGCUUUACUGCAGCUUAAUAUUGGGAUUCGGUAUUGUAUGUACAGGAUAGGAGGGAGACUAAGAAGCUAGCACGCCAGUGUUGGUGGAGUCGAUGGUGGGAUACCUCUCUUAUAAUACUGAAUUUCUAACCUACUUCCGUGAUCCGGAAGAGGGACAUUGUUAGGCGGGCAGUUUGACUGGGGCGGUCGCCUCCGAAAGAGUAACGGAGGCGCUCAAAGGUCUUCUCAGAAUGAUUGGAAACCAUUCAAAGAGUGUAAAGGCAAAAGAAGGCUUGACUGCGAGAGUGACAACUCGAGCAGGUACGAAAGUAGGACUUAGUGAUCCGGUGGUAACAAGUGGGAGUGCCAUCGCUUAACGGAUAAAAGCUACCCUGGGGAUAACAGGCUUAUCUCCCCCAAGAGUUCACAUCGACGGGGAGGUUUGGCACCUCGAUGUCGGCUCAUCGCAUCCUGGGGCUG
rnacentral:rRNA from 1 species